CAAUAGCGUAUAUUAAAGUUGUUGCAGUUAAAAAGCUCGUAGUUGGAUUUCUGGUUGAAGCGACCGGUCGGGCGUUGAUUCGUCUGCACUGGAGUCGGUUUUGGCCAUCCUCUAGGAAAGUGCGUCUGGUAUUAAGUUAUCGGGCGUAUGAUCCUGGUCUUUUACUGUGAAAAAAUUAGAGUGUUUAAAGCAGGCCUUCGCCUUGAAUACAUUAGCAUGGAAUAAUAAGAUAGGACUUUGGUCUAUUUUGUUGGUUUGCAGACCGAAGUAAUGAUUAAUAGGGAUAGUUGGGGGUAUUUAUAUUCCGAUGUCAGAGGUGAAAUUCUUAGAUUUUCGGAAGAUAAACUUAUGUGAAAGCAUUUACCAAGGAUGUUUUCAUUAA
rnacentral:rRNA from 1 species